rnacentral:rRNA from 1 species
UGCGAGUCUUUGCAGUAAUGCAAGGCAUACGGCUCAGUAACACGUAGUCAACUUACCCUAUGGACGAGGAUAAUCUCGGGAAACUGAGCAUAAUACUCGAUAGAUCAUAAUGCCUGGAAUGGUUUAUGGUUGAAAUGAUUCGUCGCCAUAGGAUGGGACUGCGGCCUAUCAGCUUGUUGGUGAGGUAAUGGCCCACCAAGGCGAUUACAGGUACGGGCUCUGAGAGGAGAAGCCCGGAGAUGGGUACUGAGACAAGGACCCAGGCCCUAUGGGGCGCAGCAGGCGAUAAAACUUUGCAAUGUGCGAAAGCACGACAAGGUUAAUCCGAGUGAUUUCUGCUAA